rnacentral:rRNA from 1 species
GACGAACGCUGGCGGCGUGCCUAAUACAUGCAAGUUGAACGCUUCUUUCUUAUCGAACUUCGGUUCACCAAGAAAGAGGAGUAGCGAACGGGUGAGUAACACGUGGGUAACCUGCCCAUCAGCGGGGGAUAACACUUGGAAACAGGUGCUAAUACCGCAUAAUGCUUUUUCUCACAUGAGAGAAAGCUGAAAGGCGCUUUUGCGUCACUGAUGGAUGGACCCGCGGUGCAUUAGCUAGUUGGUAGGGUAACGGCCUACCAAGGCAACGAUGCAUAGCCGACCUGAGAGGGUGAUCGGCCACACUGGGACUGAGACACGGCCCAGACUCCUACGGGAGGCAGCAGUAGGGAAUCUUCGGCAAUGGACGAAAGUCUGACCGAGCAACGCCGCGUGAGUGAAGAAGGUUUUCGGAUCGUAAAACUCUGUUGUUAGAGAAGAACAAGGAUGAGAAGAGAAUGUU